GCCAAUCUCUGGGCCCGGCAACAGGGUCUGGAGGCGCCCUCGCCGCGGGUCGGGCCAGCGAGAGCCGGGCUCCAGCGCCACCAGGCGGCCGCGCGGCGUCACUGCAGGCGCAGCCACGUCCCGCCCGCCCCGCGCACCCGCGCCGCGCGCCGCGCGCCGUCGAGGUCCCCGCGUCGCCGCCCUCUGCCUUUCGUAACUCGGCGCGGGGUCUGGGUUUGCAGGGCUUUGAAAACGAGCCCCCGGCGCCUUGCGCCCUCUCUUCCGGCGCUCUGGCCGCAGAUUCGGGUAGCGCCGGCCACCGUGGACCAUUUUUCUUUUUUUCCUGCUUCGCGGCGUUCCAGGAUUUUCUCUUCCGGGUCGCUCUGAGGCACGGUCAGGGGUGCCAGCAUUCCCGGUUUGGCAUUGAACCCUCGGACUCUGCAAACACCAUUGAGGGGAAGCCCCCUUUUGCGCGUGCGCCGCGCCUCCUGAGGCCGGGAGCUAAGUCGGGCUGGCAGGGCCAGGUGGCACAUAAGGGGGGCUUAAAAGAAGACUUCUCCCAGAGACCAGUGCGGCUGCUGAUUAUGUUUAUCCCAACAUCACCAAAAGAGGAAGGAGACAAAGGUAGCUAUAAAUUCAUGACAUAAUAGCUUUUAUUAAAGUGGUAGCACGGAAAAUUCCAAAGUUACCUAGGAGCUUCCAGUUAGGGUGUGCUUAACCCACGGAGCCACUAGGAAACUCAGAAUAUGAGUGAAUCACUGAAAGGAUGUUACCCACUGAUCGAGGCCAGAGAUCGAACCCGAACCUCAUAGCUCCUAGUCAGAUCCGUCUCCCCUGUGCUACGACGGGAGCUCCAACUUACCGCCU
rnacentral:lncRNA from 9 species